CCCCAGACUCCUACGGGAGGCAGCAGUGGGGAAUAUUGCACAAUGGGGGAAACCCUGAUGCAGCGACGCCGCGUGAGUGAAGAAGUAUUUCGGUAUGUAAAGCUCUAUCAGCAGGGAAGAAAAUGACGGUACCUGACUAAGAAGCCCCGGCUAACUACGUGCCAGCAGCCGCGGUAAUACGUAGGGGGCAAGCGUUAUCCGGAUUUACUGGGUGUAAAGGGAGCGUAGACGGCAUGGCAAGUCAGAUGUGAAAGCCCGGGGCUCAACCCCGGGACUGCAUUUGAAACUGUCAGGCUGGAGUGCAGGAGAGGUAAGUGGAAUUCCUAGUGUAGCGGUGAAAUGCGUAGAUAUUAGGAGGAACACCAGUGGCGAAGGCGGCUUACUGGACUGUAACUGACGUUGAGGCUCGAAAGCGUGGGGAGCAAACAGGAUUAGAUACUCUGGUACC
rnacentral:rRNA from 1 species